rnacentral:misc_RNA from 1 species
UCCGGCUUGUCACCGGCGGUUUCUUUAGAGUGCCCGGCCUGACCCGGGGGCAACUAAAGAUGAGGGUUGCGCUCGUUGCGGGACUUAACCCAACAUCUCACGACACGAGCUGACGACAGCCAUGCAGCACCUGUGUUGAAGCCGGCCGAACCGAAGGACUAUCUCUCGAUAAUCCAUACUUCACAUGUCAAGGACUGGUAAGGUUCUUCGCGUUGCGUCGAAUUAAACCACAUACUCCACCGCUUGUGCGGGCCCCCGUCAAUUCAUUUGAGUUUCAACCUUGCGGCCGUACUCCCCAGGCGGCAUGCUUAGUGCGUUAGCUGCGACACUGAGAACCUGAGGUUCCCAACGUCUAGCAUGCAUCGUUUACGGCGUGGACUAC